GGGGGGUGCGAGCGUUGUUCGGAAUUAUUGGGCGUAAAGCGCGUGUAGGCGGUUUGUUAAGUCUGAUGUGAAAGCCCCGGGCUCAACCUGGGAAGUGCAUUGGAUACUGGCAGACUUGAAUACGGGAGAGGGUAGUGGAAUUCCUGGUGUAGGAGUGAAAUCCGUAGAUAUCAGGAGGAACACCGGUGGCGAAGGCGGCUACCUGGACCGAUAUUGACGCUGAGACGCGAAAGCGUGGGGAGCAAACAGGAUUAGAUACCCUGGUAGUCCACGCCGUAAACGAUGAGUACUAGGUGUUGCGGGUAUUGACCCCUGCAGUGCCGCAGCUAACGCAUUAAGUACUCCGCCUGGGAAGUACGGUCGCAAGACUA
rnacentral:rRNA from 1 species